rnacentral:rRNA from 1 species
UACGGAGGGUGCAAGCGUUAUCCGGAUUCACUGGGUUUAAAGGGUGUGUAGGAGGGCAGGUAAGUCAGUGGUGAAAUCUUCGAGCUUAACUCGGAAACUGCCGUUGAUACUAUCUGUCUUGAAUACCGUGGAGGUGAGCGGAAUAUGUCAUGUAGCGGUGAAAUGCUUAGAUAUGACAUAGAACACCAAUUGCGAAGGCAGCUCGCUACACGAAUAUUGACUCUGAGGCACGAAAGCGUGGGGAUCAAACAGG